rnacentral:rRNA from 1 species
AGGCCUUCGGGUCGUAGAGCUCUUUCSCCUGGGAACAAGUGAUGCCGGCUAAUAUCCGGCAAAAUUGASCGUACCMGGUAAAGAAGCACCGGCUAACUCCGUGCCRGCAGCUGCGGUAAUACGGAGGGUGCAAGCAUUAAUCGGAUUUAUUGGGCGUAAAGAGCGCGUARGCGGAAAUGCAAGUCAGAUGUGAAAUUCCGAAGCUCAACUUCGGAGCUGCAUUUGAAACUGCAUUUCUUGAGGAUAGACGGAGAAAGCGGAAUUCUGCAUGUAGCGGUGAAAUGCGUAGAUAUGCAGAAGAACACCCGUGGCGAAGGCGGCUUUCUAGUUUAUUCCUGACGCUGAGGCGCGAAAGCUAGGGGAGCAAACAGGAUUAGAUACCCUGGUAGUCCUAGCCGUAAACGAUGCAUACUUGGUGUCACCGGUCUCAACCCCGGUGGCGUCSGAGCUAACGUGUUAAGUAUGCCGCCUGGGGAGUACGUUCGCAAGAAUGAAACUCAAAAGAAUUGACGGGGACCCGCACAAGCAGYGGAGCAUGUGGYUUAAUUCGAUGCARCGCGAAGAACCUUACCCAGACUUGACAUGUAGCGGACCGCACUGGAGACAGWGCUUCCCUUCGGGGCUGCUGCACASGUGCUGCAUGGMUGUCGUCAGCUCGUGCCGUGAGGUGUUGGGUUAAGUCCCRCAWCGAGCGCAACCCCUUGUCSCUAGUUGCCAGCA